rnacentral:rRNA from 1 species
AGAGUUUGAUCCUGGCUCAGGACGAACGCUGGCGGCGUGCUUAACACAUGCAAGUCACGGGGGCCCGCAAGGGUAACCGGCGAACGGGUGCGUAACACGUGAGCAAGCUUCCGAUCUGUGGGGGAUAGCCGGCCCAACGGCCGGGUAAUACCGCAUACGUUCACCGGACGGCAUCGUCUGGUGAGGAAACCUCCGGGGCAGAUCGAGGUGCUCGCGGCCUAUCAGCUAGUUGGCGGGGUAACGGCCCACCAAGGCGACGACGGGUAGCUGGUCUGAGAGGAUGGCCAGCCACAUUGGGACUGCGACACGGCCCAGACUCCUACGGGAGGCAGCAGUGGGGAAUAUUGCGCAAUGGACGAAAGUCUGACGCAGCGACGCCGCGUGUGGGAUGAAGCCUUUCGGGGCGUAAACCACUGUUGCCCGGGACGAACCUCCCCUUUCGAGGGGACUGACGGUACCGGGUGAGGAAGCACCGGCUAACUCUGUGCCAGCAGCCGCGGUAAUACAGAGGGUGCGAGCGUUGUCCGGAAUCACUGGGCGUAAAGGGCGCGUAGGUGGCUGGGUAAGCGUGUGGUGAAAGUCCGGGGCUCAACCCCGGAUCUGCCGUGCGAACUGCCGAGCUUGAGCGAUGUAGAGGCAGGUGGAAUUUCGGGUGUAGCGGUGGAAUGCGUAGAGAUCCGAAAGAACACCAGUGGCGAAGGCGGCCUGCUGGGCAUCCGCUGACACUGAGGCGCGACAGCGUGGGGAGCAAACAGGAUUAGAUACCCUGGUAGUCCACGCCGUAAACGAUGGGUACUAGGUGUCUGGGGGAGCGACCCCCUGGGUGCCGGCGCUAACGCAUGAAGUACCCCGCCUGGGGAGUACGGCCGCAAGGCUGAAACUCAAAGGAAUUGACGGGGGCCCGCACAA